AUACGUAGGUGGCGAGCGUUAUCCGGAAUUAUUGGGCGUAAAGGGUGCGCAGGCGGUUUGAAAAGUUUAAGGUGAAAGCGUGGGGCUUAACCCCAUACAGCCUUAGAAACUGUCAGACUAGAGUACAGGAGAGGGCAAUGGAAUUCCAUGUGUAGCGGUAAAAUGCGGAGAGAUAUGGAGGAACACCAGUGGCGAAGGCGGUUGACGGGCCGUUAACUGACGGUCAUGCACGAAAGCGUGGGGAGCAAAUAGGAUUAGAAGCCCUAAAAGUCGACGACGUAAACGAUGAGAACGAAGUGUUGGGGAAACUCAGUGCUGCAGUUAACGCAAUAAGUUCUCCGCCUGGGGAGUACGGCCGCAAGGCUGAAACUCAAAUGAAUUGACGGGG
rnacentral:rRNA from 1 species